GAUAAGGGGAGUUCAUGCACAUCUGGAACGACGAUGAUUCAGUGAUCUGCGUUGACACAGUGAAGGUGGAAGGUGUGUGUGAGCUGAUGUGGAUCCAGUGAAUCCAGCAGCAUGGAUCAGUGUGAGGACACACAGGAGGGAGCCCCUCUCUCUAAAAGCAGAGAUGGUAACCAUGACAACCAGAGCAAAGCUCAAAGGAACCAACCUGGACCUGGAUCUGGAUCCAGCUGGGGGUCCUUCAGGAGUGACAUAUCAAAGGAUUUACCUAUAAGCUUCAAAGACAGCAGUUCAGGAGUGGAACGGUCGGCUGUCACUCGUCCUGGAUGGCCCCUCCCUCUCCUGCCUGGUCUUCUCUGUGGAGGAGUGCACAGCUGCCUGCACUUUGCAAUCAUGCUUAUUUAAGUUGAUGAUACUCAGUCCUCAGUGUCGGUGCGUCCCUGUUAAGUCAGUGGUUUUCCUACUCAGCCGACACUGAGGUCUGUUUUGUUCUUUGGCAUUUUGUCUGAGCUUAGUUGUUCCCUUUUGUUGCCUUUUGCAGUUUUCCCUCUCUUGAGGAGUUUUUUGUGAUCCCACCUUGUGGCGCUUUCUGUUAGCAUUAAAUCGCUCUUAAGCGCAUUCCUGAGUCUCAGCCUGAUUCCUAUCUGCACUUGGGUUUCCGUCCCUACAGCCGUGACACAUCGAUCCAUCCUGUUCCCGCCAUGACAAUCCUGUCUCGCCACGCUCUGGUCUCGCUCCCUCCUGCCUAGCCAAGACUCCUGGCAAGGACCAUGUCUGUCACAAACGCCUUCGCUCCAGAUCCAGCGCCGACGUCAUGCCGUAUCAGAAGGCUACUAAUGGCUACAAACCAUCCUACGAACUUUCUCUAUACCACGUUCUGGAAGAGAAAUAAAUCUGUUAACCUACUUCCUAGUUUGAGUUUGCAUCGUAGUUCCAUCAUCUGGGUCUGCCAUGUCAUACACAUCAUGACAGGUAUAUUAUUUGGAUUUUAUAAUGUUAAAAAUUCACUAAUAAGGGGAUACUACUUAAUUAACCUUUUAAGAAUACAAGCCACAUUUCAUAUUAAUAAAUGCUAAUUUUCUGAAACUUUCUUAUUCAAACUUUUUAUGAUUGCUCUUUUUUUUUAUUUUUAUAACUUUUUUUUCCCUUUGUUUUCUAUAUUCCCCUGGCAAAUUUUGUUACUCAUUUUUCUAUCAGUGUACUUUAAAGUUGACUCGAUUUUGUACUAUGAUCCUUUAUAUAUAUAUAUUCAAUAAAGAUUUUUAAAAA